rnacentral:rRNA from 1 species
UACGUAGGGUGCAAGCGUUGUCCGGAAUUAUUGGGCGUAAAGAGCUCGUAGGCGGUCUGUCGCGUCGGCUGUGAAAACUCGGGGCUCAACCCCGAGCCUGCAGUCGAUACGGGCAGACUAGAGUGCUGUAGGGGAGACUGGAAUUCCUGGUGUAGCGGUGAAAUGCGCAGAUAUCAGGAGGAACACCAAUGGCGAAGGCAGCUCGCUGGGACGGUACUGACGCUGAGGCGCGAAAGCGUGGGGAGCAAACAGG